GCUUACAGGACUCUGCUUUCACCAGGAGUGGCUACAGAAGCACAGCUUCUGGCUCCUUUGAAAGCUGGGGAUUGCAUGAAGCACACUCCUAGUUAUUGAUCUGAGUUCUGAGCAUGUGAAAUGUUGAAAUCCAGGACUGUGGAGGAAGCUGAGACCACAACCCAGUGCAGCUCAGGGGUGAAGUCUGAGACACCAAGCAAUGUUGGCUCUGUAUAGGGAUGAGACAUUAUGAAAAUACAGAUCUGUGUCAGAAAAAAAGAAGCCAAAAUUAACCAGAACUUCCUUCUGUCAUCAGAUAAGUUGCACUUGCUUUCAGCUCCUUCCUACUGACACAUGGGCAAAUGGCAGCCUGAGACAUGAGAGAAACACUAGAUACGAAAAAGAUCUAAAUAAGAGGUGUGAGGAGCAGUCACUUCCACCAUUUAAAGUAGUGCAAUAUCAUCUCGUGUCUUUCUACCAGGCAGCUGAAUUUCCAGUUCAAUUUUGUUUACAGAUUCUGUUCCUAAAAUGUUUUUGUCGAUAAAUGCUUUUUCCCCUGCCCCACCCUCCCCUUGCUGUGAUUUUUUUAGUAACAAAUUUAUGUUAUCUUUUCUUUCAGGUUGUCUAACAAAUAUUGAAACAAAACUGAGCACUAUUAAUUGUUCUCACAAUAAGCCCACAACAAAAUUUAUCAAUGUGGCAAUAACAGUGAUGUUUGUAUUCCCAUGUCUUGAAAUACUUUGAUCGGAAACGACAACAUUGUAACUGAAAAUGAUGGUAAUUGCCUCACUGCAAAGGUGUUUUGUUGCUACACUCAAUCUCUUCUUUGAAACCAGCCAUGAACAGAAGUCACCACAAGCAACAAUAAACUAAAAAUUCAUUUUCCUAGAGAUGGUUGCACUGCAUCUGUUGUGUGGGAAAUAACUCAGAUUUUUGUUUGGUUUGGGAUUUCAAAAUGACUUAUGGAUGGGAAAUUUCAAAGCAAUACCAUCAGGAAAAAUCAACUGCUUCUAUUUAGCUGAAUUUUAAAUCUUAUAUGAUAAUAUGAGUCUUUUGAAUGCAGGGUGAGUAUGUAUAUUUAUGUAUGUGCACCUUGAGAUCAAUAUUAAUGUGGAAACAAGACACUUACUGUAUCAAAAUGAGAAGGAAACAUCAACAUACUUCUUCACACUUUCCUACUGAAAAUUGCCAAAUCUUAUAUGUUGGUAAACUGUGGGAAACAUAUUCAGUUGGGUUUGAUCAAGUUGAUCACUGCCUGAGCCUGAGAGAACGGGGUUCCCUCCUGCAGCCAGGACCCUCAGCAUCCCUCACACCUCCCCUGUGCUCGAGGUCCAUGGCAGGGGUUUCGUGAGGUCUCUUGCUCAGCCCCAGCAAAUUUUUGGUUGCUUGGUCCAGCGUAGGUUUAAAUUUAAGUUCUUAAACUGCAUUCACAGAUCUGCCCUGGAAAAUAAUACAGGACAGGGAAAGGAUGUUUUGGAUUGUACAUUCUAUUAUUUUUAUUUUGUUUUUCUUUCCUCAUUUCAAGUAACACCGCCCUCUCGUCUUACUGCAGCACCAGUGGGUGGGAUACCUGCCCCAGCUCCUCCUUUCCAGUAGGGACAGGGACCUCCUGGGGAGGACACAUCAAGCUGCAGCUCUGGAGAGCAUGUCCAGUGAGAGCAAAAACCAAAUGAGUAUUUUGGACAACUCCAACCCAGAUUUGGGCACUAGGGAGGCAGGCAAGAGCUUUGAGGGCAAGGUGGCUCCUCACAGCUGGACUUGAGGAGGGACACCUGGUUUCAGGGUGGGGUCCAGCACCAGCUCCAUGCAGACUUUUAACACCUUUUCCUUAGAUCAUUAUUUCACCUUAAUCUAUUAAAAUGAGUCCCUUAUGAACUACUUUCUGAUGUCCUUAUUAACCAAGGAUUAAAUAAUUGUUAAUUAAGCAGCCCAGGCUACUUAUUAAUUCAACUUGUUAAUUAAAUAUAGGAAGCUAAUGAGGCAGCUUGUUGAUUGAGUUGUUGGAGGGAGGUGAGGGUAUGGAGGAGGAUCUCUGCCCAGUUCCUGUGGCAAAGGCAGGAAUGUGCCCCCUUAUGAAGCCAGGGUCAUGGGAGCUUCCUGAGCUGGGUUGUGCAGUCACACCUUGGGAGAAGCUUUAUUUGUGUUUAUUGUUGUUGUCAGCUCCAAGCAACCCAUCAAGAAGAGACUCCAGGACUUGCAGGCCAAUAUUUCAGUGUUUCAUACAGGGCUAAGCUGUGUAAACACUGGGGCAGGACAAUGGGAUGAAGGUAAGGAGGGUGACUUGGUGGUGUGGGAGGUGGGAGGCAGUGAUGGCCUCUUGCUUUUGGCAGCUUUAAUGAGAAUCACAAAUGGGUGCUCCUCCAAAUGACUUUUGCCCAAGACAAGAAUGAUCUGCAUUUUAUAGACAAUAACUAGAGCAAGAGAUAAACAGGAGUCUUCUGUUUUGCAGGAACCUUUGCAGCAAGCAAAAGCCACAGUGUCAGUUUCUGGUAAGUCAGAGCUACCUGUGGUCUGCCCCAGCUUUGCUCCUUCUGUUUGCAGGAUCAGGCCAGGACCCAUUAGAAGAUGGAGCUGAGCUGUGCUCCUGGGUCUUCCUGGAGCUGUGAACACAAGAUCCUUCAGUGCUAAAGCUCACUGAGAGAGCCUCAUGCAAGCAUCUCACUGCACAAGAGCAUCAGGCAGUCGGAACUGAUACGGCAUUUUCAGGAUGUUUUCUCUGAGAAGUUUGCUGAUGGGCCAUUUCUUGUUGCCAACAAGUCUCCAACAUCACUGGUUUGUUCCACUGCUAAUGCCAUUCCCCAGGCAAGCUGAAUAAAACCACUUCUAAUCACUUCUGAAAGUUUCUGAAACGAACUGGAGCUAAUGAGGAAAACACACAGCUUUAGAAACAGAAGUGCAUUCCCUGAAGUCAACAGCCUAGAAAAAAUUUUUUUGAAUAUUCAUUUCUACUGAGAUUUUCUAUCGCUAUAAUUAAUUUGUCACAAAUACACUGACAAAGCAUUUCUGGUGGAAUGAUGAAGGCUACAGGCAGAGGUUUACUUAACUAGCUAUCAAAUAACUUAAAACUCUUAAAGCGUUACUGGCAUGAUCCUGCUUUCGUCAGAGAUUGCUACUUGGCUUUGAAGACAGCUAAAGUUAUUGAAAAAUUGUUAUAUGGAUUUAUUUUUAGUUAAUUCAGUCCUCUUCUGGUGUAUGGGUGUAUUAUCCAUGGACAUUUUGACAAGCACUGGGCUUUUUUUUUUUCUCUUAAUGGAAAAACAAGAACAAAACCUUUAAAGCACCCACAGAGUUCUUCAGGGUUCAGUUCUGCUGGUUUUCCCCUUCCUUUUUGCAGUAAUGUCUGAGUCUUUGGGAUGCUUACCCAACAGGAAAGAUGUCCGACAGCAGCCGAAGAGCAAAUUGAUGCUGAGUGUCUCAAAUGACUGACACAUAAUGACACCUGCCUUGUUAGAUCAGCUCACUGCUCCCAGCCAGGCAGUGGUCAGCUAGGGAAAAGAAGGUCUUCAAGGAUUCUUUGUAGUCUUUCUACCUUCAGAGUAAUUGCUGCAUGACUCAUGGACAAGACAUCCUUGCAGGACCCAGUGACUGACUCAAAUCAGUGGAAUAAAUUUUUUUUUUUUUUGAUGGGAAAAGGAUUAGAUCUGAUUCUGUGACCAUUACUCACCCCAAGUUGCACUAGUUCAAUAAGUCUCUUCAUGUAAGUAAGGCUCCGGUGACGUGAGUAAUGGUGGCAGGUUCUGGCCCUGAGUUAUUACAUGAAACCAUCUCAAGUGCAGGAGAAAGCUGCAUGACUCAGAUCUAGCUUUAAAAAGAAAAGUUUUAAAUCCCAAGUUAUGAUGUGCCAUUUGGCUCCUGCUGAAGUUGGUCUAAAAAGGCUGUGCUGAAUAAUAAAAAAGAUCAAGCUUUUGAUGUUAAGUUGCAUGUUCAAGCAUAAAAUCCAGUCUUGAUGAUGCAGCUUAGCCUGGCUUAUUUCACUCAGGCGAAGACACUAAACAAGAACCUUACACUAUUUUUCACUUAGAGGAAAUGUCUGUGCAUUUAAAAAAAAUAAAAAUUGACAGAUAAGUAAUUAGGAAACAUCUGGCCAAACUGAAAGCAACAGAAGUGAUUCCAAUCAAAGGUGGUUCAUUGAGAGCUUUUCAUCUUGACUCCAAGAGAAAUGGCAAACUUAGCACUUAAAAAAAUUUCCAGCUUUCUGAUGAAGUGUUAAAAAGUCAGGGAAAAAUGAAUAUACAUCCACCCAGCACAAGGGGCUAAGUGGAGGAGGAGAGAAAAUCCUGGGCUGUGGAUAUGCAGAGGUGUGUGCCAAGGGGCCAGAGCCAGGGCCAGUGUUUCAACUCUGUCAUGGUGUUUUCAUCCAAUUCCAGCAGCCCUGUGGCUGCAAGGGUGACAUGUUGCAGAGGGCAAUCACCAAAUGGUGCUGUGGCUGCCUUGGGUGUCCUUGUACAUUCUAACAGUAUCUUCUGCACCAGGUGCUCCACCUGCGUCUACCUACAUGGGCACCACAGGACAGGCUGAGCUACACAGGAGGUUUGUGGCUGUUCUGCAUGAGCUGGCUGGGAGGUCAGUGCAGUCCUCACAGCCCUUGUCUCCUUCCUCCUUUUCAAAAGCUUCAUUGGAGCCAUGCACAGAGUAAUGGAAUAUUCUUAUCUGGGAUUUUGGGUGAGCGAUGCUGCUUUUCAGUAGGCUCUGUUUCACUUGGCAUGAUGUUUUGAAAAUCUUUCCCCACAUUUAGUGAAUGCUGGUGGCUUGGAGUAUCCAUUAGAGAAAUACCAGAAUUGUGUGGACACUUCCCUCAGCUCGUUGCUUUGGAAGGACUUCGAUGUGCUCCUUAAGAGGGGAUGUUUUCUCAUGAUGUUCUGGCAGUUGAAGUGCCUCACAGAAAUGGUCCUGCAGGCUUUUUACAAUUUCAAACAAGUUUCAUUUGACUUUUUUGGGCAAAGUUUGAGAGAUAUAUUUUUCUCCAAACUGGCAUGUUUGCACAUGUUCAUCCUCUUCAGCUGCCAUGGCCCUUCCUCCACGGCAUUUGCAUGUGGUAUCUCAGCAGGGUGAACUGUACAGCCAUGUCUCAGCUUUGCAGGCACUUAGAAUCAAAGCCUGGUGUUGGUGGGGGCUGUUGCAUCUUUAAACUGCCCAUUUUAAUAUUUUUAACACACCAGACUAAAAGCCCAGAGCAGAACUCACUGCAUCUCGAUGCAUCCAGCUGCAGACGUGAGCUGUGCCAAGGAGGGGCUGGAGAAGGGAUGGGAGUGGUGAGUGCUGGCUGUGUGUCUUCACCUCCCUGCCCAGGAAAGGAGCAGGGGGAAGGAGAGGAUCAGUGCUCCAGCACAGCAGCCAUUUUAAGCUGCCUCUUGCACAGCUGGAAAUCAUUGCGAUAGCAUCAGCUGCCAAGGAGAGUUAUGAGAUUUGGCAGGAUUGGGAGGGAAAGAGGUAGCAGCUACAUCAUUUGUGAAUUGUAAGUGCUUCAAAGACACAGUGAGGGGCCCUGACUCACCAGCGAGUGCCAGCAUGGGUCCUGCUGCCCUGUGCCUGGCACAGCCAGGGCUGCCCAGCCCCAUGGUGGGACGGAGCAGGACCUGCACCCACCUCGUGGUGGCACCCGGAGGAGCAGGAGGCUCCCUGCAGGGUGAAGGGCACCUGCACAUCUUCAACUGCUCCUGCAGCUUGUUGGCCCACCAGUGUGUCCGCAGGCAGGUUCAGCUGGAACACCUUUCAACUGGGAGGGAUUUAUUAUUGAGUAAGGAAAUAAGUGCUCUGCAGCCUCACCUCAAAAAACCUCCUUAAAGCAAGAAUAGAAAGCGUACGAUAUAUUCCUCUCCAAAUUAGUUGCUAUUAUUUUGAUUAAAACACAUUAUCAUAUAAAUAUUUGAUUAAGAAUGCAAUUAAAUCUUUCUUGCUCAUGAACUGUGACAACUUUAAAGUCUAACCUUUUAUAGCUUGGCACCACAUCAUUAUUUUGCUCAUUAGCGACGUUUAAUAAUUCGAUCUCAUAAUACGCUUUGCCAUUUGAAACCUGCCUCUGUGUGCCAAGUUAAAAUCGAUGCUGUUAGUUAUUUGUGCCACUGCAGAUAAUUAAACAAAAAUUAAAAGCAAUUUAACCUUGCA